rnacentral:rRNA from 1 species
AUUGAACGCUGGCGGCAGGCCUAACACAUGCAAGUCGAGCGGAUGAAGGGAGCUUGCUCCUGGAUUCAGCGGCGGACGGGUGAGUAAUGCCUAGGAAUCUGCCGCGUAGGGGGGGAUAACGUCCGGAAACGGGCGCUAAUACCGCAUACGUCCUGAGGGAGAAAGUGGGGGAUCUUCGGACCUCACGCUCGCAGAUGAGCCUAGGUGGGAUUAGCUAGUUGGUGGGGUAAAGGCCUACCAAGUCGACGAUCCGUAACUAGUCUGUGAGGAUGAUCAGUCACACGGGAGGUGGGACACGGUCCAGACGCCUACGGGAGGCAGCAGUGGGGAACAUUGGGCAGUGGGCGAAAGCAUGGUCCAGCGAUGCCGCGUGUGUGACGAAGGUCUUCGGAUCGUAAAGCCCGUUUAGUGGGGAGGAAGCGCAGUAAGUUAAUACGUAGCUGGAUUGACGGUACCGACAGAAUAAGCACCGGCUAACUACGUG